rnacentral:rRNA from 1 species
GACUUCGGUUCUGAUGGCGACCGGCGCACGGGUGAGUAACGCGUACACUACCUACCUUUAACAGAGGGAUAGCCCUGGGAAACUGGGAUUAAUACCACAUAGUAUUGCAUAUUUUAUUUUUAUGCAAUUAAAGCUCCGGCGGUUAAAGAUGGGUGUGCGUUAGAUUAGCUAGUUGGUAAGGUAAUGGCUUACCAAGGCUACGAUCUAUAGGGGGCGUGAGAGCGUGGACCCCCACACGGGUACUGAGACACGGACCCGACUCCUACGGGAGGCAGCAGUAAGGAAUAUUGGACAAUGGGCGCAAGCCUGAUCCAGCCAUCCCGCGUGAAGGAUGACGGCCCUAUGGGUUGUAAACUUCUUUUAUUAGGGAAGAAACCUUUUCAUUUAUGAAGAGCUGACGGUACCUAAAGAAUAAGCACCGGCUAACUCCGUGCCAGCAGCCGCGGUAAUACGGAGGGUGCAAGCGUUAUCCGGAAUCACUGGGUUUAAAGGGUGCGUAGGCGGAUAAAUAAGUCAGAGGUGAAAGCUUUCCGCUUAACGGGAAAAUUGCCUUUGAAACUGUUUA